rnacentral:rRNA from 1 species
GACAGAGGGUGCAAACGUUGCUCGGAAUCACUGGGCGUAAAGGGCGUGUAGGCGGGAAGGAAAGUCGGGCGUGAAAUCCCUGGGCUCAACCCAGGAACUGCACUCGAAACUUCUUUUCUUGAGUGCCGGAGAGGAAAGCGGAAUACCUGGUGUAGAGGUGAAAUUCGUAGAUAUCGAGAGGAACACCGGUGGCGAAAGGCGG